CCAUGCAUGUAUGUGCCUUCUGUACAGCAAAUAAAUAUUUUAGAGAUCUGUUGAAAUAUCUCACUCUAUUUACCUAUUUGGCUAGCUCUCCAACAUAACUAAAGAGUCAGAAUUUCUUUAUGCUCCAACUUACUAUGCAUAUCUCACUCUCAAUAUACCGUCACUCCCAAAACCACCAACUCCCAAAACCACCAACGACAUAUGCAUUAAGAGAUAUUGGGAAGAGUCUAGAGCUGUCUCCUUCUUUUCCUCUCUCUCCCCAUCCUUUUUCUUCUUCAAUCCUCACCACCUAGCACAUCCACCACUGGCCAUAUAGACCAUCCCAGCAAGCCCACCAGGCAAGCCGAGGGUGGUGGUGUGUGAGGCGAUGGAGCUCAACAGCAAGCGGCGGUAAAGAGGUACCAUUAAUUACACCAUAACGAGCGAAGUUAUCCAGACACAUAUUUCCUCUACCACUAUCCCCAUCAUCCCCCUUCACCACCAUCAUGGUCAUUAUGGUGACUACAAGGGAAAGAGGCAAAGAAGACAACAUUGCUACGAUAGAGAGGCAACGUCAACUAUAAUGGUGGAUUAGUGCGCCUAUGUUGCUACAAGCAACGACAAUAUUGAAGGCGUCAAUAGAGAUUGGCACAUGUAAUAAUAGGGAGGUGACUACAAAGGUUCAUGCAAGGAAUGGCUCGUGAUGUCGUGCUUCGAAUGACGGUGUAGAUUAGUGUAGGGAGGGCUAGUAGGCGGUGCUCUGGACGGAGGAUGUAAUGUCGCUGCUAAAACCCUUUCACAAGUUUAUGUCGGAUAUAAAACUGGGGACAUAGAAGGAUAUAGGGUUUGGGUCCCAUAGUUGCAAAUGAUUUUGGCUUGUCAAGUUUGGCCAACAAGGGGAGAAGUUUGGCGAUUGGCCUGCUAUCCGGUUAACAAGUCUGUUGCAGACGUAUUUUUUCUAAAAAAAAUUAUCAAAUAUUGGUAUGAAGAGUUAUACAAUAUCUGUUGGAGUAGCUAUACAAAACUUAAUACUUAAUAUAAAACUUCUAGCCUUACCUAGAUUAAUAUGAAAUCUAG
rnacentral:lncRNA from 1 species